CUCAUCCAUAAAUGAGACUUCUUAACUUGUAUUCUCCGAGAGAGAGAGAGAGAGAGAGAGAGAGAGAGAGAGAGAGAGAGAGAGAGAGAGAGAGAGAGAGAAUGAAGUUAGUUGGUUUUCUUUUUUUUUUUUUUGGUCAGUAUAUUUUCUUCUAGGCACAAAUACACAGAGGUCUAAGCAAUCCAUCCAGUUUGGAAGGAGAUAGAUUCCCACUCUCCACUUCUCUGCUCCUUAGAAAAUAAGAUGAUUUUGGGGAAGAGAAAGAAGUUAUCAGAAGACAACUGAGACAAUUCAAUUAAGUAAACUUUUACUGGUUCCAAGUUAGCUUUGGUACAUAUCAGAUGCCAGAGUGAGCCUUGGGCUGUAUUUGGACAGGAGAGUGUUGAGCCAACCCAGGCUCCUCCUUUUUAACACCAUGCCAUCCUCCCGUUGCCCUGCCUCUCAUUUCCUUUCCAUUUCACUAUGCUUCAGCCAUACUAGCCUUCUUUCUGUUCCUCAAAUGCUGUGGCGUUUCUUCCUAUCUUGGGGAAGUCACAAGUGCUGUUUCAUCCCUUGGGAAUGAAUACCCACCCCUUCAGUUGCUAAUCCUUAUGCUUCCUUUUCCUCAUCCUUAUGCUUGCUCUUAAGUAUCUUUUUAUCAGUAAUGGGCUCCUUGACCCCCGACCUUGAGAUAUACCCUGAUACGCCCACAUAUUUCAUUCUGGACUUCUCCUUUGUGGCAGUCCUCUGACCUGUGAUUGUGUAAUCUUUUGCCCUGUGCCCUGCUCUAUCCAAUAGAGUGUCAGGUUUUCUUUUCUUUUCUUUUUUUCUUUUUUCUUUUGUGUUUUUUUGUUUUGUUUUGUUUUGUUUUGUUUUGUUUUGUUUUGUUUGAGACAGGGUUCCUCUGUACAGUCCUGUCUGUCCUAGAACUCACUUUGUAGACCAAGCUGACCUCAAACUCAGAUAUCUGCCUGCCUCUGCCUCCGAAGUGCUGGGAUUAAAGACAUGCACCACCACCGCCUGGCCUGAGUGUCAGCUUUUCAAGGGCAAGGAUCAUGCUGGAGUAUUCUUUCUGCCAAGAGACCUGAGCAUAACACCCCAAAUAGUGGGCUCUUGAUAACAAAAGCAGACACGGGAAUAGAAUACUACUGAGGAAAAUGAUGGAAUUCAGCCAGAGGCCAAUGAAGCCUACAUGUGCUCAAGAUAUAUGAUACACCUAUGGAAAAUUCUAUAAUGAAACCCAUUAUUCUAUAAAAUUAGUAUGUGGAAACUAAGAGACCAUUGACAUCUGAAAAAUAAAACAAGCGGAACAGAAAAGAAAAAGAUGGAUUAUUGUUGUUGUUUUAUUUCUAUAGAAGUAGCUCUAGGAGGCCUAUAGUUUGCUAUAUGGGCCAAACUGGCCUUGAAUUCACAGAGAUCCACCUGUCUCAGCCUCCUGAGUUCUGAGCAUAAAUACAUG
rnacentral:lncRNA from 1 species